AGCUUCCGUUGAAUGACGUGCUUGCACUGAUUUCAACAAUGAAGCGAGUGGCGAACUGGUGAGUAACACGUGGGAAAUCUGCCCAGAAGCAGGGGAUAACACUUGGAAACAGGUGCUAAUACCGUAUAACAACAAAAUCCGCAUGGAUUUUGUUUGAAAGGUGGCUUCGGCUAUCACUUCUGGAUGAUCCCGCGGCGUAUUAGUUAGUUGGUGAGGUAAAGGCCCACCAAGACGAUGAUACGUAGCCGACCUGAGAGGGUAAUCGGCCACAUUGGGACUGAGACACGGCCCAAACUCCUACGGGAGGCAGCAGUAGGGAAUCUUCCACAAUGGACGAAAGUCUGAUGGAGCAAUGCCGCGUGAGUGAAGAAGGGUUUCGGCUCGUAAAACUCUGUUGUUAAAGAAGAACACCUUUGAGAGUAACUGUUCAAGGGUUGACGGUAUUUAACCAGAAAGCCACGGCUAACUACGUGCCAGCAGCCGCGGUAAUACGUAGGUGGCAAGCGUUGUCCGGAUUUAUUGGGCGUAAAGCGAGCGCAGGCGGUUUUUUAAGUCUGAUGUGAAAGCCUUCGGCUUAACCGGAGAAGUGCAUCGGAAACUGGGAGACUUGAGUGCAGAAGAGGACAGUGGAACUCCAUGUGUAGCGGUGGAAUGCGUAGAUAUAUGGAAGAACACCAGUGGCGAAGGCGGCUGUCUAGUCUGUAACUGACGCUGAGGCUCGAAAGCAUGCGUAGCGAACAGGAUUAGAUACCCUGGUAGU
rnacentral:rRNA from 2 species